UACCAGCACCCCGAGUGGUCGGGACGAUUAUUGGGCCUAAAGCAUCCGUAGCCGGUUCUGCAAGUCCUCCGUUAAAUCCAGCUGCUCAACAGAUGGGCCGCGGAGGAUACUACAGAGCUAGGAGGCAGGAGAGGCAAGCGGUACUCAGUGGGUAGGGGUAAGAUCCGUUGAUCCAUUGAAGACCACCAGUGGCGAAGGCGGCUUGCCAGAAUGCGCUCGACGGUGAGGGAUGAAAGCUGGGGGAGCAAACAGG
rnacentral:rRNA from 1 species